UGUCCAGUAGAAUGUGGAAAUAAUUUCAUUUUGUCUUUGUUUCCUCAAUUCCUUGCACAUAGUAGAUUAAUAACUAUUUGUUUACUUGAAUUUAACAAAUGUUUCCUUUUUUCCUGUGGCCCUUCAGUUUCAUGAGCACUUCCCACAAGUACAAAGGUGGUACAGUGAUAGAGUGCUAGGGCUGAAGUCAGAAAGACCUGAAUUCAAAUCCAGCCUCAGGCCCUCUAGUGUGUGUCACCCUGUGUGACCCCUAGGCAAGUCACUUAUCUUCUGUCUCAGUUUCUUUAACUGUCAAAUGAGGAUAACAAUAGCAUCUAUUUCUCAGGGUCAUUGUGAGAAUCAAAUGAAAUAUUAUUUGUAGAGCACUUAAAAGUAGUAGGAGCUUAAAAAUGUAUAUACUCUUUCCUUCCUUUCCUAUGAAAAGGAAUUUUGUAUUCUCUCCAUUUUCCCUCAAAUCCUACUAACCCUCUGAGCACAUUAGGUUGGGGAUUAUUCAGAUUAUACAGUGCUAAUUUGUUUGUUUAUUUUUAACCUAAGUGUAUUGGAUGGGUGGAAAUAAAGAAUACAUAGCAUCAAAAAAUCUAGGUUAAAAUCCUAUUUCUACUGUGGAAAGGAAAACUGUGAAUCAAGCUUUGGCGUUUCUGCCCACUGAAGUGUAGGAGCCAGUGGUUGGAAUGUGAUCAUGAGGGGGACUGACAGUUGGAGUGAGAGAAGAGGAUUGUGGGAAAAACUGUGAACUGAAGGGUUUUUGCCCUCUGACCUCUGCUGAGUGUGAAGCAUAGACCAGGAGCACUAUAUCCCAAACUGUGGAAUACCUUGCCUCUAUUGCCUUACCCUGGAGAAGAAGGUUCCCAUAUGUGCGAGAGCAUCCAUUAGAGGAAGAAUAAGAUGAAAAAAAUCCAGCAGUGAAGAGUCAGCUUUUCAUUCACCACAUGUCAGUUCAAAGGAAGAGAUUUCAAAACAGCCUUACCAGGUACAGGGUCUUGGGUCCAGCCUCCAAAGAAUGAAGAAUUGUCUCCAGACUCCACUUCCAAAGAAUGAAGAACUAUCUCUCACAGGAAGUGACAUGUCCUUUUAAAGAUGAUUCUUU
rnacentral:lncRNA from 1 species